rnacentral:misc_RNA from 1 species
UUCUAAUCGUAACGGGAAUUUACGACUCUCGUUGACGCGUAUUCUAACGACCGCGUCUCCCCGCGAUAGUACGAAUUUACAUGGUCCUUCGAGCCGGAUUCUGUGUCAAGUGAAAAGUGCACGCCAGUGACACCCACUCUCAUACAGUGCCACGUGAAUCCAACACAACCAGCAGCAGAAGCGUUACCACCCCAGCGAGGUCAGUAACGUAAAGGGUCGUCACCUUUGAAGAGGUAUAAUUCGGUGGUUGAAACGCAACCACACAGCCUCCCGCCACAAAGUGGACAAUCGCCAACAGAAGCGGACCUCGCCCGUUUUUGGGAAAUCGACGAGGGACCGCCCACCGCAAGAAUUUCGGAAUCGGAACGACAGUGCGAGGAGCACUUUCGAAAUCACGUUCAACGCAACAACGAAGGGCGAUACGUUGUCGCUCUCCCAUUCAAUGAAACAACUCCUCCGCUUGGAUCUUCGAAAGCCAUGGCAAUGAAGCGACUCACUUCCCUCUGCCGUCGAUUCCAACGAGACAAACAAUUCGAAGCCGAC